rnacentral:rRNA from 1 species
CGGGGCCUACGGGGGGCAGCAGUGGGGAAUAUUGGGCAAUGGGCGCGAGCCUGAACCAGCCAAGUCGCGUGAGGGAUGAAGGAUCUAUGGUUCGUAAACCUCUUUUAUAAGGGUAUAAAGCGCGGGACGCGUCCCGCUUCGCAUGUACCUUAUGAAUAAGGAUCGGCUAACUCCGUGCCAGCAGCCGCGGUAAUACGGAGGAUCCGAGCGUUAUCCGGAUUUAUUGGGUUUAAAGGGUGCGUAGGCGGCCUUUUAAGUCAGCGGUGAAAGUCUGUGGCUCAACCAUAGAAUAGCCGUUGAAACUG